GCCAAUAAGGACGCGGAUCUCAGGACGUGCAGGACGAGGCAGCGCAGCAAGGACACAGAGUGAAGCACAUUUUAAUGAGGGGACGCAGAUAAAGAGUGAAUAGACGCGUAGACAGCGAGAAGAAAAUCAGCAGUAUCCAGUAUUUCAUCGGGCCUACUGUGUGCUGCCAGACCCCCACAGCCAACCAAGAUCUGUGCCCAAAAUUCCUCACUACUGACCAGCCCUUCAUAUUGUGCAUCUCUAUCAUGGGU